UACAGAGGUCUCAAGCGUUGUUCGGAUUCAUUGGGCGUAAAGGGUGCGUAGGUGGCGCCGUAAGUCAGGUGUGAAAUUUCGGAGCUUAACUCCGAAACUGCAUUUGAUACUGCGGUGCUUGAGGACUGGAGAGGAGACUGGAAUUUACGGUGUAGCAGUGAAAUGCGUAGAGAUCGUAAGGAAGACCAGUGGCGAAGGCGGGUCUCUGGACAGUUCCUGACA
rnacentral:rRNA from 1 species